rnacentral:rRNA from 1 species
GAUGAACGCUGGCUACAGGCUUAACACAUGCAAGUCGAGGGGAAACGACGGGGAAGCUUGCUUCCCCGGGCGUCGACCGGCGCACGGGUGAGUAACGCGUAUCCAACCUGCCUCUGACUGAGGGAUAACCCGUCGAAAGUCGGCCUAAUACCUCAUGGUAUCGUCUGCGGGCAUCCAACGACGAUUAAAGAUUUCAUCGGUCAGGGAUGGGGAUGCGUCUGAUUAGCUUGUUGGCGGGGUAACGGCCCACCAAGGCUACGAUCAGUAGGGGUUCUGAGAGGAAGGUCCCCCACAUUGGAACUGAGACACGGUCCAAACUCCUACGGGAGGCAGCAGUGAGGAAUAUUGGUCAAUGGGCGAGAGCCUGAACCAGCCAAGUAGCGUGCAGGAAGACGGCCCUAGGGGUUGUAAACUGCUUUUAGGCGGGGAUAAAGUGAGGGACGGGUCCCUCAUUGCAGGUACCGCAUGAAUAAGGACCGGCUAAUUCCGUG